rnacentral:rRNA from 1 species
AUUGAACGCUGGCGGCAGGCCUAACACAUGCAAGUCGAACGAGUGGCGGACGGGUGAGUAAUGUCUGGGAAACUGCCCGAUGAAGGGGGAUAACUACUGGGAACGGUAGCUAAUACCGCAUACCAUCGGAUGUGCCCAGAUGGGAUUAGCUAUUAGGAGGGGUAAAGGCUCCCCUGGGCCACGAUCCCUAGCUGGUCUGAGAGGAUGCCCAGCCACGCUGGAACUGAGACACGGUCCAGACUCCUACGGGAGGCAGAAGUGGGGAAUAUUGCACAAUGGGCGCAAGCCUGAUGCAGCCAUGCCGCGUGGAUGAAGAAGGCCUUCGGGUUGUAAAGUACUUUCAGCGGGGAGGCGUGACCCGCAGAAGAAGCACCGGCUAACUCCGUGCCAGCAGCCGCGGUAAUUC